rnacentral:rRNA from 1 species
UAAGGAAUAUUGGACAAUGGACGGAACCCUGAACCAGCCAUGCCGCGUGCAGGAAGACGGCCCUCUGGGUUGUAAACUGCUUUUAUACGGGAGGAAACCUCCCUACGUGAGGGGAGCUGACAGUACGGUAAGAAUAAGCAUCGGCUAACUUCGUGCCAGCAGCCGCGGUAAGACGAAGGAUGCAAGCGUUACUCGGAAUUACUGGGCGUAAAGCGUCAGUAGGCGGUUUCUUAAGUCUGCUGUGAAAGCCCCUCGCUCAACGUGGGAACUGCCGUGGAUACUGGGAGACUAGAGUGAGGUAGAAGGUACUAGAAUACCCGGUGUAGCGGUGAAAUGCGUAGAUAUCACAUGGAAUACCAAUGGCGAAGGCGGCUUCCUAGACGAGGACUGACGCUGAGGCACGAAAGCGUGGGGAGCGAACA